rnacentral:rRNA from 1 species
UACGGAGGGUGCGAGCGUUGUCCGGAAUCACUGGGCGUAAAGGGCGCGUAGGCGGCGCGGAUAGUCGGCGGUGAAAGCCCGGAGCUCAACUCCGGGUCGGCCGUCGAUACUUCCGGGCUUGAGCACUGUAGAGGCAGAUGGAAUUCCGGGUGUAGCGGUGGAAUGCGUAGAGAUCCGGAAGAACACCGGUGGCGAAGGCGGUCUGCUGGGCAGUUGCUGACACU